rnacentral:rRNA from 1 species
GGGGGAAACCCUGACGCAGCGAUGCCGCGUGGGUGAAGAAGGCCCUCGGGUCGUAAAGCCCUGUCAGGCGGGAAGAAUAGGUUCCUGGUGAAUAGUCAGGAGCUGUGACGGUACCGCCGAAGGAAGCACCGGCUAACUCCGUGCCAGCAGCCGCGGUAAGACGGAGGGUGCGAGCGUUAUUCGGAAUUAUUGGGCGUAAAGAGCGUGUAGGCGGCCGGUUAAGUCAGGCGUGAAAGCCCAGGGCUCAACCCUGGAAGUGCGCUUGAUACUGGUCGGCUUGAGUCCGGGAGAGGGAAGCGGAAUUCCGGGUGUAGAGGUGAAAUUCGUAGAUAUCCGGAGGAACACCGGUGGCGAAGGCGGCUUCCUGGACCGAGACUGACGCUGAGACGCGAAAGCGUGGGGAGCAAACAGGAUUAGACACCCUGGUAGUCCACGCUGUAAACGAUGGGCGCUAGGUGUAGGGGGUUUUUAAUCCCUCUGUGCCGCAGCUAACGCAUUAAGCGCCCCGCCUGGGGAG